rnacentral:rRNA from 1 species
GUUUCAUUUAAAAUUUUAAUAGAAUUUUAUUUUUUAGUUAAAAAGCUAAAAUUAAUUCAAAAGACGAGAAGACCCUAUAAAUCUUAAUUAUUUAAGUAAUUUUAAUUAAUUUUGAAUAAGUUUAUUGUUAUUAUUUAAAUAAUUUUAUUGGGGUGAUAUUAAAAUUUAAUAAACUUUUAAUUGUUGAUGUCAUUUAUUUAUGAUUAAUUGAUCCAUUUUUAGUGAUUAAAAAAUUAAGUUACUUUAGGGAUAACAGCGUAAUUUUUUUGGAGAGUUCUUAUCGAUAAAAAAGUUUGCGACCUCGAUGUUGGAUUAAGAUUCAUAUUUAAAUGCAGAAGUUUAAAUAUUAAGUCUGUUCGACUUAUAUUUCUUACAUGAUCUGAGUUCAAACCGGCGUGAGCCAGGUUGGUUUCUAUCUUUGAUUUAUUUAUAUAUUUUAGUACGAAAGGAAUAAAUCUAUAUUUUUUAAAAAUUUAUAAUAUGAAU